GCAGAAGGAAGCAAUGCCGAAAGCUGCAUUCCAGUUUGGAGUGAAGAUGCAGGAUGGUAGGAAGACGAGGAAACAAAACAAAGACCAGAAGCUUACGAAUGAGCUGCAUAAGAUAAACAAAAUACUCACCAGAAAGAAGAUGGAGAAAGACAAAGGUGAAGCACUUGAAGACGGUGAAAUACAACCUGGAAAGAAGCAGCGUGUAUGAACAAACAGACAGAUAAAACUUUGAUCUUUUUGUUUUUUUAGAUCUUCCUCUACAUUUUACUGUUCAGAAUAUCUUGAAUUUGAAUUAGUACUAUGUCUUGAUUUAGUGUUCAGAAUAUCGUGUCUUGAUUUAGUGUUCAGAAUAUCG
rnacentral:misc_RNA from 1 species